rnacentral:rRNA from 1 species
UUUUGAUGUUAAUCGUGCUUUCCUGGGUAGUAUUAGUUAUGUUCUUGAAACCUAAAGAAUUUGGCGGUAUUUUAUUCCUUCCAGAGGAAUCUGCCCCUUAAUCGAUAAUCCACGUUGGACCUUACUUAAUUUAUAUUUGUUUGUAUACCGCCGUUGUAGUGAAGAUCUCCUUAGUGUUUAUUAAAUUUUCUGAUUUCUUUAUUUUGGAUUUAUUUCAGGUCAAGGUGCAGCUUGUUUUUAAGUGUGAGGUGGAUUACAUUAUAUAUUGUUUUGUGGAUUGUCAGUUGGAAUUUGAUAUGAAAUUGGAUUUGGUUGUAAUUUAUUUUAUGAUGUUUUUAUGAUAUUGGUUCUAAAAUAUGU